rnacentral:rRNA from 1 species
GAUGAACGCUGGCGGCGUGCCUAAUACAUGCAAGUCGAGCGAAUGGGUUAAGAGCUUGCUCUUAUGAAGUUAGCGGCGGACGGGUGAGUAACACGUGGGUAACCUGCACAUAAGACUGGGAUAACUCCGGGAAACCGGGGCUAAUACCGGAUAAUAUUUUGAACCGCAUGGUUGGAAAUUGAAAGGCGGAUUCGGCUGUAACUUAUGGAUGGAACCGCGUCGCAUUAGCUAGUUGGUGAGGUAACGGCUCACCAAGGCAACGAUGCGUAGCCGACCUGAGAGGGUGAUCGGCCACACUGGGACUGAGACACGGCCCAGACUCCUACGGGAGGCAGCAGUAGGGAAUCUUCCGCAAUGGACGAAAGUCUGACGGAGCAACGCCGCGUGAGUGAUGAAGGCUUUCGGGUCGUAAAACUCUGUUGUUAGGGAAGAACAAGUGCUAGUUGAAUAAGCUGACACCUUGACGGUACCUAACCAGAAAGCCACGGCUAACUACGUGCCAGCAGCCGCGGUAA